GACGAACGCUGGCGGCGUGCUUAACACAUGCAAGUGGAGCGACGAACCGGGCUUCGGCCCGGGGCAAAGCCGCGAACGGGUGAGUAACACGUGGGUAACCUGCCCUGAAGACCGGGACAACCCGAGGAAACUCGAGCUAAUACCGGAUGUGUUCACUGUCCAUAAGAACAGUGAGAAAAGGAAGCUUCGGCCUCCGCUUCAGGAUGGGCCCGCGGCCCAUUAGCUUGUUGGUGAGGUAACGGCUCACCAAGGCUGCGAUGGGUAGCUGGUCUGAGAGGACGAUCAGCCACACUGGGACUGAGACACGGCCCAGACUCCUACGGGAGGCAGCAGUGGGGAAUCUUGCGCAAUGCGCGACAGCGUGACGCAGCAACGCCGCGUGGGGGAAGAAGGCCUUCGGGUUGUAAACCUCUUUCAGGAGGGACGAAGCUUCGGCAGCGAAUAGCUGUCCGGAGUGACGGUACCUCCACAAGAAGCCCCGGCUAACUACGUGCCAGCCGCCGCAGUAAAAC
rnacentral:rRNA from 1 species